rnacentral:rRNA from 1 species
GAUUAACGCUGGCGGCGUGCAUAACACAUUCAAGUCGAACGGGUGUAGAAAUACAUCAGUGGCGGACGGGUGAGUAACGCGUGAGCAAUCUACCUUCCAGUGCGGAAUAACAACCGGAAACAGUUGCUAAUACCGCAUGAAAUGGCAGUACCGCAUGGUACAACCAUCAAAGGCUUGCUGCUGGAAGAUGAGCUUGCGUCUGAUUAGAUAGUUGGUGGGGUAGCGGCCUACCAAGUCGACGAUCAGUAGCCGGACUGAGAGGUUGAACGGCCACAUUGGAACUGAGACACGGCCCAGACUCCUACGGGAGGCAGCAGUGGGGGAUAUUGCACAAUGGAGGAAACUCUGAUGCAGCAACGCCGCGUGAGGGAAGACGGUCUUCGGGAUUGUAAACCUAAGUUAUCAGGGACGAUUAUGACGGUACCUGAAGAGAAAGCUCCGGCUAACUACGUG